AACGAACGCUGGCGGCAGGCCUAACACAUGCAAGUCGAGCGCUCACCUUCGGGUGGGAGCGGCGCACGGGUGAGUAACACGUGGGAAGCUACCUUGAAGUACGGAAUAACUGAGGGAAACUUCAGCUAAUACCGUAUACGCCCUACGGGGGAAAGAUUUAUCGCUUCAAGACGGGCCCGCGUUGGAUUAGCUAGUUGGUGAGGUAACGGCUCACCAAGGCAACGAUCCAUAGCUGAUUUGAGAGAAUGAUCAGCCACACUGGGACUGAGACACGGCCCAGACUCCUACGGGAGGCAGUAGUGGGGAAUGUUGGACAAUGGGCGCAAGCCUGAUCCAGCCAUGCCGCGUGAGUGAUGAAGGCCUUCGGGUUGUAAAGCUCUUUCAGAUGGGACGAUGAUGACGGUACCAUCAGAAGAAGUCCCGGCUAACUUCGUGCCAGCAGCCGCGGUAAAAC
rnacentral:rRNA from 1 species